rnacentral:sRNA from 1 species
ACAGGGCGAGGGCGGCGGCGGCGGCGCAGUGUGCAGCAUGGCGUACCCGGGGCAUCCUGGCGCCGGCGGCGGGUACUACCCAGGCGGGUAUGGAGGGGCUCCCGGAGGGCCUGCGUUUCCCGGACAAACUCAGGAUCCGCUGUAUGGUUACUUUGCUGCUGUAGCUGGACAGGAUGGGCAGAUAGAUGCUGAUGAAUUGCAGAGAUGUCUGACACAGUCUGGCAUUGCUGGAGGAUACAAACCUUUUAACCUGGAGACUUGCCGGCUUAUGGUUUCAAUGCUGGAUAGAGAUAUGUCUGGCACAAUGGGUUUCAAUGAAUUUAAAGAACUCUGGGCUGUACUGAAUGGCUGGAGACAACACUUUAUCAGUUUUGACACUGACAGGAGUGGAACAGUAGAUCCACAAGAAUUGCAGAAGGCCCUGACAACAAUGGGAUUUAGGUUGAGUCCCCAGGCUGUGAAUUCAAUUGCAAAACGAUACAGCACCAAUGGAAAGAUCACCUUCGAUGACUACAUCGCCUGCUGCGUCAAACUGAGGGCUCUUACAGGUGAGUUCUAUAAGGUCAUGUUAUCACCACAAGCCAAGACACAGUUUUUAUUACAUUUCAUCUCUCAGUGCUUCUCAACUUUUAUUCUUCCCAAAUUUUUUUCUUGCUUUAGUAGUUUUUCUCAGAUUACUAUUAAGCAUAUCUGGCAAAAUAAUUUUUUUUUUCCAGAAUUUAUUUUAGAUUAGUAAGUAAUCUGCCAUUAAAAUAAACAAUUAAAUUUUACUAAAAUGUUCUAAAACACAAUCAGCUAACUUGUGCAUUUUUGAUCAGAUAAUAAUGAAUUUUUCCCCAGAAUGUGAAAUAUUUGGAAAGAGUGAAAUUAAAAUAAAAUCCUUUUCUAUAGGGCAGAGCUGAAAUGGUAGAGAAACUGAUUACAGCCCAUUUGUUAUACUGGGGACUCUUUCUCUGUUUCUUAAGCAGUAUCUUUGUUAUUAAGAAGCUAGAAAUUCUGUGCUUUUAUCACAAUUAAGUAAU